rnacentral:rRNA from 1 species
AUUGAACGCUGGCGGCAGGCCUAACACAUGCAAGUCGAGCGGAUGAAGGGAGCUUGCUCCUGGAUUCAGCGGAGGACGGGUGAGUAAUGCCUAGGAAUCUGCCUGGUAGUGGGGGAUAACGUCCGGAAACGGGCGCUAAUACCGCAUACGUCCUGAGGGAGAAAGAUGGGGAUCUUCGGACCCCACGCUAUCAGAUGAGCCUAGGUCGGAUUAGCUAGUUGGUGGGGUAAAGGCCUACCAAGGCGACGAUCCGUAACUGGUCUGAGAGGAUGAUCAGUCACACUGGAACUGAGACACGGUCCAGACUCCUAAGGGAGGCAGCAGUGGGGAAUAUUGGACAAUGGGCGAAAGCCUGAUCCAGCCAUGCCGCGUGUGUGAAGAAGGUCUUCGGAUUGUAAAGCACUUUAAGUUGGGAGGAAGGGCAGUAAGUUAAUACCUUGCUGUUUUGACGUUACCAACAGAAUAAGCACCGGCUAACUUCGUG